UGCAAGUCGAACGGGUCCUUCGGGACUAGUGGCGGACGGGUGAGUAACGCGUGGGAACAUACCCAAAGGUACGGAAUAGCCUCUGGAAACGGAGAGUAAUACCGUAUGUGCCCUUCGGGGGAAAGAUUUAUCGCCUUUGGAUUGGCCCGCGUUGGAUUAGGUAGUUGGUGGGGUAAUGGCCUACCAAGCCGACGAUCCAUAGCUGGUUUGAGAGGAUGAUCAGCCACACUGGGACUGAGACACGGCCCAG
rnacentral:rRNA from 1 species